ACGGGCGGCAGCAGUGGGGAAUCUUCCGCAAUGGGCGAAAGCCUGACGGAGCAACGCCGCGUGAAUGAAGAAGGUCUUCGGAUCGUAAAGUUCUGUUGAGAGGGACGAGAGAUAACUUCAGGAAAUGGGAGUUAGAGUACGGUACCUUUCGAGGAAGCCACGGCUAACUACGUGCCAGCAGCCGCGGUAAUACGUAGGUGGCGAGCGUUGUCCGGAAUUAUUGGGCGUAAAGGGAGCGCAGGGGGGAAAGGUAGUCAGUCUUAAAAGUGCGGGGCUCAACCGCGUGAUGGGAUUGAAACUACUUUUCUUGAGUGCAGGAGAGGAAAGCGGAAUUCCGAGUGUAGCGGUGAAAUGCGUAGAUAUUAGGAAGAACACCAGUGGCGAAGGCGGCUUACUGGACUGUAACUGACGUUGAGGCUCGAAAGCGUGGGGAGCAAACAGGAUUAGAUACCAUGGUA
rnacentral:rRNA from 1 species